rnacentral:tRNA from 1 species
CCGUAGCGGUAAACGCGCAGCUUUUCAGCUAGACCAAGCUGAGUCGUGGGUUCGAAUCCCACCGG